ensembl:lncRNA
CCCACAGCGGCUUUUGAAUCCCCUCCUUCUCUUCCCACCUCUUCAAAUUCAUUGGCUGCCAGAGGAGUAGCGACAAUGUUUAAUGCACCAUGCGGUGUCCGGAGUUCAGUCAGUGAGAGGAAGCGCUCCGUGGGCUUAGGGCUGUGCUGCGUGUGCGAAAUAGUAAAUAACGACUGUGCGUGCGUGCUGAAGGAAAUCACACAUUUCCUGACAGAUAUAGGGGAGACUUGUGCCGGAAUGCGGCGUUGUUGUUGACCACCUCAGCAGCUGUCUCUCUGUGUAUCUGUGUGUAUAUAUAUAAAUAUAUGUGUGUGUGUGUGCAUGUGUGUGUGCGUGGACUUUGACGGGGACGACGGGCAAGGACAAAAAUGCCACUACGGGAAUCAGUAACUCUGUGCUGUCUCGAACGGCGGAAAAAACACUGACUGCCUUUCAAAUAUUCACUUUGGAUCUACCUUACCACACAUCUGGAUUUUUCCCCUCCUUUCUUCGUAGAGUAUUUCUCAGUUUUCCUUCCUGAAGAACGGUGACUCACUGCAGGCAGAAGGCGAGCCGCUGCAUCCUAAUCAGACAGCGGAGAGGACUUCAGCUCAUUGACAUUACAGUCAUACUUUUCUGGAGCACUUUUUUUUUUAUUUCCACUGCGCUGCACUGUAGCCUGCGUGUGCAUUGGAGGCUUGUGGCUUUCCCCCCUCUCUCCCUCUUCACAAAGAGGAGAAGGAGGAUACGGGUGGCACCUACCGAAGUGGGCUAAGGAGACGAAACUCUCCCUAAACCCUGCUGGAACUGACUGUUUUUAAUUUUUGUCUUUCUCCUUUUGUUGUUAUUUUCUUUUUUUCUUUUUUUGUACAGUUCUAUCCUUGGACUAUUUGCGCAGUUUCUUUUGGUAAGUUAUAUAUUUGUAAUCAUUUGACAUCUCUUCUCUUAUUUUCCCGCUGUCUGUUGCUCGUUUCCAAACCUUAUCUCGCAACCAUCCCCAUGCAUGCGGAUGCAACAGCUUCUUCGUCUUCUUCCAAGGAGCGAUGAAUCUCUCUCACAGAAAGAGGGAGAAAGAGAGGCAGAGAGCACGAGUGGAGAGAAUUACACGGCUGUGCUGAGAUGUUGGCAGCUCAUUUCUGAAUUUUUAUAAGGCUCAUUUUAAAUAUCCGGAUUAUGCGGAUUUGUUAAUGCGUGUAAGAGGCUCAUUUUAUACACACUUAUUCAAAUAGCCACCACAAUAGGCCGUGUUCAGUUGUACGCCUGCAGUGAUACCACAUUAUUGAAGUUGUCCUAUUCCAGUUUGAGUUCUCCUAAUGUGUGAAUGGGCCAUUAUCGCGCUCGGGUCAGGUAGUCCAUUGUACAUUAGAGAUAGAUUGAAAAAACAUGCACUGAGGAUGUGGUAUUUAUGGAGUAAAUAAGCUACAAGGAGAAUCAUU